rnacentral:rRNA from 1 species
GACGAACGCUGGCGGCGUGCUUAACACAUGCAAGUCGAACGGAAAGGCCCUGCUUUUGUGGGGUGCUCGAGUGGCGAACGGGUGAGUAACACGUGAGUAACCUGCCCUUGACUUUGGGAUAACUUCAGGAAACUGGGGCUAAUACCGGAUAUGAGCUCCUGCUGCAUGGUGGGGGUUGGAAAGUUUCGGCGGUUGGGGAUGGACUCGCGGCUUAUCAGCUUGUUGGUGGGGUAGUGGCUUACCAAGGCUUUGACGGGUAGCCGGCCUGAGCGGGUGACCGGCAACAUUGGGACUGAGAUACGGCCCAGACGCCUACGGGAGGCAGCAGUGGGGAAUAUUGCACAAUGGGCGGAAGCCUGAUGCAGCAACGCCGCGUGCGGGAUGACGGCCUUCGGGUGGUAAACCGCUUUCGCCUGUGACGAAGCGUGAGUGACGGUAAUGGGUAAAGAAGCACCGGCUAACUACGUG